GACGAACGCUGGCGGCGUGCUUAACACAUGCAAGUCGAACGGAAAGGCCCUGCUUUUGUGGGGUGCCCGAGUGGCAAACGGGUGAGUAACACGUGAGUAACCUGCCCUUUACUUUGGGUUAACUUCAGGAAACUGGGGCUAAUACCGGUUAGGAGCUCCUGCUGCAUGGUGGGGGUGGGAAAUUUUCGGCGGUUGGGGAUGGACUCGCGGCUUAUCAGCUUGUUGGUGGGGGAGUGGCUUACCAAGGCUUUGACGGGUAGCCGGCCUGAGAGGGUGACCGGCCACAUUGGGACUGAGAUACGGCCCAGACUCCUACGGGAGGCAGCAGUGGGGAAUAUUGCACAAUGGGCGGAAGCCUGAUGCAGCAACGCCGCGUGCGGGAUGACGGCCUUCGGGUUGUAAACCGCUUUCGCCUGUGACGAAGCGUGAGUGACGGUAAUGGGUAAAGAAGCACCGGCUAACUACGUG
rnacentral:rRNA from 1 species